GCGGGUUUAGCUCAGUUGGGAGAGCGUCAGACUGAAGUCCACUUCAUCAUUAAAUCUGAAGGUCGUGUGUUCGAUCCACACAAACCGCA
rnacentral:tRNA from 1 species